rnacentral:rRNA from 1 species
UACGUAGGUGGCAAGCGUUGUCCGGAUUUACUGGGCGUAAAGAGCGCGCAGGCGGUCGUUCAAGUCGCGUGUGAAAGCCCCCGGCUCAACUGGGGAGGGUCACGCGAUACUGAUCGACUCGAAGGCAGGAGAGGGUAGUGGAAUUCCCGGUGUAGUGGUGAAAUGCGUAGAUAUCAGGAGGAACACCGGUGGCGAAGGCGGGUCUCUGGGCCGAUACUGACGCUGAGGAGCGAAGGCCAGGGGAGCAAACGGG